rnacentral:rRNA from 1 species
CAGUCGCCGCGGUAGUACGAAGGGUGCAAGCGUUAAUCGGAAUUACUGGGCGUAAAGCGUGCGUAGGCGGUUUGUUAAGUCUGUUGUGAAAUCCCCGGGCUCAACCUGGGAAUGGCAAUGGAUACUGGCAAGCUAGAGUGUGUCAGAGGAUGGUGGAAUUCCCGGUGUAGCGGUGAAAUGCGUAGAGAUCGGGAGGAACAUCAGUGGCGAAGGCGGCCAUCUGGGACAACACUGACGCUGAGGCACGAAAGCGUGGGGAGCAAACAGGAUUAGAUACCCCAGUAGUCCCUGUCUCUUAUAA